GUGCUCACUUUGGCAACACAUCAUUUAAAUGUGAAGCAAUACAGAGAUGAUUAGCAUGGCCCUUGAACAAGGAUGACAUAAUGAUUUCUGAAGCAUUCCAUAUUUUA
ensembl:snRNA U6 U6 spliceosomal RNA